rnacentral:piRNA from 1 species
UCCUUCAACUUUGUAGGCUUGGGCAUA